rnacentral:rRNA from 1 species
GACGAACGCUGGCGGCGUGCUUAACACAUGCAAGUCGAACGGAAAGGCCCUGCUUUUGUGGGGUGCUCGAGUGGCGAACGGGUGAGUAACACGUGAGUAACCUGCCCUUGACUUUGGGAUAACUUCAGGAAACUGGGGCUAAUAACGGAUAGGAGCUCCUGCUGCAUGGUGGGGGUUGGAAAGUUUCGGCGGUUGGGGAUGGACGCGCGGCUUAUCAGCUUGUUGGUGGGGUAGUGGCUUACCAAGGCUUUGACGGGUAGCCGGCCUGAGAGGGUGACCGGCCACAUUGGGACUGAGAUACGGCCCAGACUCCUACGGGAGGCAGCAGUGGGGAAUAUUGCACAAUGGGCGGAAGCCUGAUGCAGCAACGCCGCGUGCGGGAUGACGGCCUUCGGGUUGUAAACCGCUUUCGCCUGUGACGAAGCGUGAGUGACGGUAAUGGGUAAAGAAGCACCGGCUAACUAUGUG